UAAGGCUUUGAUACUUGCAGAUU
rnacentral:piRNA from 1 species